UGGCACCCAGCGUGGGGGCUCCUGGCACGGGGGAGUCAACGAGGGAGCUGUUCGAGAACACUGGCUAAAAGUGGAAACAAACUGAAUCAAGGACCGAGGCCAAAAGUGAAAGCAAACUGAAUCAAGGACCGAGGCCUGCAUGGACUACUGCCCAAUGUGCUGCCCCAGUCAUGGUAAGUGAAUGGCAACCCCAUUCCCUUUCCCAGAGAUGGGUCAAGCAUUGAGCGAACAUGAAUUGUUUGUGGGAGGCCUUAGUAAGGCAUUAAAGACAAGAGGGGUAAGGGUUAGAACAAAAGAAUUAUUGCAGUAUUUUCAAUUUAUUCAUUAAGUUUG
rfam:Cavia porcellus supercont2_2 genomic scaffold, whole genome shotgun sequence.